ACCUAAAUAUCUUAAAUUUUCAACGAUGGAUAUCUAGGCUCCUAUACCGAUGAAGAACGCAGCGAAAUGCGAUACGCAAUGCGAAUUGCAGAACCGCGAGUCAUCAGAUCUUUGAACGCAAGUGGCGAUAGCUAUGGCUAUCAUGUUUGUUUCAGUGUAUCCGGUUAAUUACAUCAAAGAACUUAAUGUGAUUGAGGCAACUCUCUCACCAAGUACGAAGUUACUUCAGCGUAACGCCUAACCGAAGCAGUCACUAACUGGUGAUAAUCGUUUAGAGCCGAAGCUGGCAAACAGUAACUUAACAAGAACUUAUCCACUAUUGACACCUGAAAUAAGCAAGACUACCCGCUGAACUUAAGCAUAUCAGUAAGCGGAGGAAAAGAAAAUAACAAUGAUUACCUCAGUAGCGGCGAGUGAAGAGGUAUAAGCCCAAGAUGUUAAUCUGCAGCACAACUGUGGAAUUGUAAUCUAAAGAAUUUCUCAGAAAGGGAGACUUGUCAUAAGUUCUUUGGAACAAGGCACCAUAGAGGGUGAAAGUCCCGUCUUUGGAUAAGUCAAUCUGUAUGAGACGUUUCUAAGAGUCGGGUAGUUUGGGAAUGCUGCCCUAAGCGGGAGAUAAACUUCUCCUAAGGCUAAAUAUAUUAUAGGAGACCGAUAGCAUACAAGUACUGCGAAGGAAAGAUGAAAAGAACUUUGAAAAGAGGGUUAAAAGACUUGAAAUCGUUGAAAAGGAAGCAGUAGAAGAGAAAUUAUAGCCUGCGAAUUAAGCCACUAGCGUAAGCUUGGGGGUGGAGGACACUUAACAGGGUCCUUGCUUCACAGUGAAAGCGAGUGGUGUUUCGCAGGUGAAAGACAAAAUGGCUUUUCCCUGUAAUAAUAAAGCUGAAACAGAUUGUUAGGCCCAAAAUUACAGGGGAGAGUGAGGGAUAAGAUUAUGAUUUUGUCAAAAUGGCUUUUACUGACCCGUCUUGAAACACGGACCAAGGAGUCUACCCAUUAUGCAAGUGUUAGGGUGGAAAAACCCAAACGCGUACCGAAAGGGAUGCAAGAUGUGAAGCGCAAGCCGCAACAUCAACCAAUCUUGAUUCUACGAUGAAGGACUUGAGUAAGAGCAUAAUUGGUAGGACCCGAAAGAUGGUGAACUACGGUUGAGUAGGGUGAAGCCAGGGGAAACUCUGGUGGAGGCUCGAAGCGUUACUGACGUGCAAAUCGUUCGUCAAACUUGACUGUAGGGGCGAAAGACUAAUCGAACCAUCUAGUAGCUGGUUCCCUCUGAAAUUUCUCUCAGGAUAGCAGGAACAGGUGAUGCAGUUUUAUCAGGUAAAGCUAAUGAUUAGUGGACUCGGGGGUCUGAGACUCUCGACCAAUUCUCAAACUUUAAAUUGGUAAGAACUUUUAGUUUUCUUAAUUGAACUGAAGGGCAGAAUGCAUUGUUCUUAGUGGGCCAUUUUUGGUAAGCAGAACUGGCGAUGAGGGAUGAACCUAACGUUGAGAUAAGGUGCCCAAAUUUACGCUCAUGAGACACCAGAAAAGGUGUUGGUUAGUAUAAACAGCCGGACUGUGGCCAUGGAAGUCGGCAGCAGCUAAGGAGUGUGUAACAACUCACCAGCCGAAUUAACCAGCCCUGAAAAUUGAUGGCGCUAAGCGUAAUACCGAUACUCAACCAUUAGGGCAAAUAGAAGCCUUAAUGAGUAAGAGGGCGUGAGAACUGUGUCGAAGGUUCGGACGUGAGUCUAACUGGAACAGUUUUUAGUGCAGAUCUUGGUGGUAGUAGCAAAUAUUCAAAUGAGAACUUUGAAGACCGAAGUGGAGAAGGGUUCCAUGAGAACAGCAUUUGUUCAUGGGUUACUCGAUCCUAAGACAUAGGGAAAUUCCUUGUAAUACAUGUAAUCUUACGAUUGCAUUGUCAAAAGGGAAUGAGGUUGAUAUUCCUCAAGCUGGAUGUGGUGGCAACGUGGUAACACAAACAAGCUCGGAAACGCCGGUAUGUGCAACUGGAAGAGUUCUCUUUUCUUCUUAACAGUCUAUCUCCCUGAAUGGAUUAUCCAAAGCAAGGGAUAUAUGGCUGGCAGAGCAGUUCACCAUCGAAUUGUCAGUGAUGCUCAUAACGGCCCUUGAAAAUCUGAGUAAGGUAUCCAAACACACCAGGUCGUACCCAUAACCGCAUCAGGUCUCCAAGGUUAGCAGCCUCUGGUCGAUAGAAUAAUGUAGAUAAGGGAAUUCGGCAAAUUAGAUCCGUAACUUCGGGAAAAGGAUUGGCUCUGAGGAUUGGGUUAUAGUGGCUGUCAUUGAGCGGGGAACUAUGAAAGAGCUGCGCGAGUGGAUCUGGAUUGGUGAACCAGGAUUUGCCAGUUUGCUUACGCCAGCAACAAUCGACUCAGAACUGAAGCGGACAAGGGGAAUCCGACUGUUUAAUAAAAACAUAGCUUUGUGAUGGUGUGAAAACAUGUUGACACAAAGUGAUUUCUGCCCAGUGCUUUGAAUGUGAAUAUGAAGUAAU
rnacentral:rRNA from 1 species